rnacentral:rRNA from 1 species
GCCCAAGAGAUCGGGAUAACACCUGGAAACAGAUGCUAAUACCGGAUAACAACAGAUGAUGCCUAUCAACUGUUUAAAAGAUGGUUCUGCUAUCACUCUUGGAUGGACCUGCGGCGCAUUAGCUAGUUGGUAGGGUAACGGCCUACCAAGGCGAUGAUGCAUAGCCGAGUUGAGAGACUGAUCGGCCACAUUGGGACUGAGACACGGCCCAAACUCCUACGGGAGGCAGCAGGC